rnacentral:rRNA from 1 species
GACGAACGCUUGCGGCGUGCUUAACACAUGCAAGUCGAACGGAAAGGCCCUGCUUUUGUGGGGUGCUCGAGUGGCGAACGGGUGAGUAACACGUGAGUAACCUGCCCUUGACUUUGGGAUAACUUCAGGAAACUGGGGCUAAUACCGGAUAGGAGCUCCUGCUGCAUGGUGGGGGUUGGAAAGUUUCGGCGGUUGGGGAUGGACUCGCGGCUUAUCAACUUGUUGGUGGGGUAGUGGCUUACCAAGGCUUUGACGGGUAGCCGGCCUGAGAGGGUGACCGGCCACAUUGGGACUGAGAUACGGCCCAGACUCCUACGGGAGGCAGCAGUGGGGAAUAUUGCACAAUGGGCGGAAGCCUGAUGCAGCAACGCCGCGUGCGGGAUGACGGCCUUCGGGUUGUAAACCGCUUUCGCCUGUGACGAAGCGUGAGUGACGGUAAUGGGUAAAGAAGCACCGGCUAACUACGUGCCAGCAGCCGCGGUGAUACGUAGGGUGCGAGCGUUGUCCGGAUUUAUUGGGCGUAAAGGGCUCGUAGGUGGUUGAUCGCGUCGGAAGUGUAAUCUUGGGGCUUAACCCUGAGCGUGCUUUCGAUACGGGUUGACUUGAGGAAGGUAGGGGAGAAUGGAAUUCCUGGUGGAGCGGUGGAAUGCGCAGAUAUCAGGAGGAACACCAGUGGCGAAGGCGGUUCUCUGGGCCUUUCCUGACGCUGAGGAGCGAAAGCGUGGGGAGCGAACAGGCUUAGAUACCCUGGUAGUCCACGCUGUAAACGGUGGGUACUAGGUGUGGGGUCCAUUCCACGGGUUCCGUGCCGUAGCUAACGCUUUAAGUACCCCGCCUGGGGAGUACGGCCGCAAGGCUAAAACUCAAAGGAAUUGACGGGGCCCCGCACAAGCGGCGGAGCAUGCGGAUUAAUUCGAUGCAACGCGUAGAACCUUACCUGGGUUUGACAUGGAUCGGGAGCGCUCAGAGAUGGGUGUGCCUCUUUUGGGGUCGGUUCACAGGUGGUGCAUGGCUGUCGUCAGCUCGUGUCGUGAGAUGUUGGGUUAAGUCCCGCAACGAGCGCAACCCUUGUUCACUGUUGCCAGCACGUUAUGGUGGGGACUCAGUGGAGACCGCCGGGGUCAACUCGGAGGAAGGUGGGGAUGACGUCAAGUCAUCAUGCCCCUUAUGUCCAGGGCUUCACGCAUGCUACAAUGGCUGGUACAGAGAGUGGCGAGCCUGUGAGGGUGAGCGAAUCUCGGAAAGCCGGUCUCAGUUCGGAUUGGGGUCUGCAACUCGACCUCAUGAAGUCGGAGUCGCUAGUAAUCGCAGGUCAGCAACGCUGCGGUGAAUACGUUCCCGGG